UACGUAGGCAGCAAGCGUUGUUCGGAGUUACUGGGCGUAAAGGGUGUGUAGGCGGUUCUUUAAGUUUGCUGUGAAAUCUCCCGGCUUAACCGGGAGGGUGCGGUGAAUACUGAGGGACUAGAGUACGGGAGAGGAAAGUGGAAUUCCUGGUGUAGCGGUGAAAUGCGUAGAUAUCAGGAGGAACACCGGUGGUGUAGACGGCUUUCUGGACCGACACUGACGCUGAGGCACGAAAGCGUGGGUAGCAAACAGG
rnacentral:rRNA from 1 species